AGAAUGAUAUUGAGCCAAAGAGGACUUGCCGACCAAGGAAUCUAAACCUGAUUUGGGCAACCGGCAAGUUGACUUUGGCUCUGUUUCCUUCUUU
rnacentral:pre_miRNA from 2 species